UACGAAGGGGGCUAGCGUUGCUCGGAAUUACUGGGCGUAAAGGGCGCGUAGGCGGCCCUGUUAGUCAGGCGUGAAAGUCCUGGGCUCAACCUGGGAACUGCGCUUGAUACGGCAGAGCUAGAGGAUGGAAGAGGCUCGCGGAAUUCCCAGUGUAGAGGUGAAAUUCGUAGAUAUUGGGAAGAACACCGGUGGCGAAGGCGGCGAGCUGGUCCAUUACUGACGCUGAGGUGCGAAAGCGUGGGGAGCAAACAGG
rnacentral:rRNA from 1 species